UUACGCCUGCGGUGUUCGUGAUUGCGCCUUUCGUCUUGAGCCUACAUUUUCCGACUUGCCCCUUGGGAUAUACCGUCGGUCGUGGCCGACGGGCUACAAUCCCUAAUGUAAAUCUAUUAAGGAGCGGGUCAAGACUGUCGCGACACGGCACUGUGGGUUUAAC
rnacentral:other from 1 species